rnacentral:rRNA from 1 species
UACGGGGGGGGCAAGCGUUGUUCGGAAUUACUGGGCGUAAAGGGCUCGUAGGCGGCCAACUAAGUCACACGUGAAAUCCCUCGGCUCAACCGGGGAACUGCGUGUGAGACUGGAUGGCUUGAGUUUGGGAGAGGAAUGCGGAAUUCCAGGUGUAGCGGUGAAAUGCGUAGAUAUCGGGAGGAACACCUGAGGCGAAGGCGGGCUACUGGGCCGAUACUGACGCUGAUGCGCGAAAGCCAGGGGAGCGAACGGG